CCUACGGGUGGCAGCAGUGGGGAAUUUUCCGCAAUGGGCGAAAGCCUGACGGAGCAAUACCGCGUGAGGGAGGAAGGCUCUUGGGUUGUAAACCUCUUUUGAUCGGGAAGAAGACAGUGACGGUACCGAUCGAAUCAGCAUCGGCUAACUCCGUGCCAGCAGCCGCGGUAAUACGGAGGAUGCAAGCGUUAUCCGGAUUUAUUGGGCGUAAAGCGUCCGCAGGUGGUUGAGCAAGUCUGCUGUCAAAGCGCGGAGCUUAACUCCGUAAAGGCAGUGGAAACUGUUUAACUUGAGUACGGUAGGGGUAGCGGGAAUUCCCAGUGUAGCGGUGAAAUGCGUAGAUAUUGGGAAGAACACCAGCGGCGAAAGCGCGCUACUGGGCCUGUACUGACACUGAGGGACGAAAGCUAGGGGAGCGAAAGGGAUUAGAUACCCGAGUAGUC
rnacentral:rRNA from 1 species